CUGGGAGUUGUGCUCCCAGGCGACCACAUUCCCUUCAGGGGUUGUGCAGAAAAACUGAACCAGAAUAUGGAUAAAGAUGCAGAAAAUUGAGACUCUAAACUGAAAUUGCAUGAAUGGCAGCCGGAACGUUUAUUUCGUGCCUCAGUAACACAGGUCUCCUGUCUACACUGGUCCCAUUUAAGAUCUCCUUGCUAACUCAUGACAAGUAAGAAUGGUUUGCUUGUAAAAAUCACAGUUCAGCAACAGUCCAUAGGAGGACUAAAUAAUUUAUUGAAAGAAAGAAGUGAAAACUCUUCAAUAGAAAUGUGAGGAUGGGCACUCAAAUUGGCUUCUUUAAAAUAUCAGCGAGAACGAAAAUGAUGACACUUAAGCACCGAAGCUACUACAAUGUUUUGAUAAGGGGUGAAAGGAGCCUUCUCCCUUUUAUCAAAAAGUUCCCCAUCUGUCGGCCCUGCAGAGGAUCAUGCUGAUGGGAAACGGGCUACUAAGUAGGACCUGAAAGUGAAUGUUGUCCUGAGUUCCAAAUCAAACCACCAACAAUAAAUAACAAGUAAUCAUAACAAUUACUAUUGAUUUAGCCUUGUUGAGACUCAGAAACCAAUACCCCAAAAUAGAGGGUUUUAACAUGUCGAAUUGAGGAAGCCUCAAGGUCUCUCUGACCUUCCCCUAUACACACCGUCUUUCCCAAAGAAGCUGAAGUUUCUUUAUCUGCCUAAGAUCCAGACCUUCCAAGGAGAGCAAUUAUUCUUUCUUCCCCUUCCCACUUAUCUUCUUAUCUAUGGCAGAAAAGAAGACCAAGGUGUGACCUGACCCGAGAAGACUCCAAGUAUCAUCUGAAUUCCAAAGAAAGCUACUUACAAGAAAGGUCACAGAAGGCUGCUUCUUCACUGCUUUGCUGAAACAUCUUAAAGUGUUGGGCCAGGAGAAGUGUUAGAGACCAUCUGCUUCAAGCCCUUCAUUUUUCAGAUGAAGAAACUGAGGCCAGGUGAGGUAAAGAGGCUGCUAAAAGAUCAUACAGUGACCUGGUCUGCAGCAGAGCCAAAGAUCAGGACUCAGAGAUUCCCGUACCCAGGGACCCUCUGGUUAUUUGCCCAGCAAGGAAACCACUGGUACACUCCAUCAAGUCUGCUGGAAGACUCCAAAACAGUGGACAACAGAGCCCCUGCCCUUGGGAAGAAAGGCUAAGUGGGCCCUGAAAAGUAAGUAAUCAACUGAUGACUAGAGAAACAGAAUGUGGUCCAGACAUACAAUGAAAUACAGUCCAGCCAUGGAAAGGAAUGAAGCGCUGACGCAUGCUACAACGUGGGUGAACCUUGAAAAAUUAUGGUCAGUGAAAGAAGCCAGUGGCAGAAGACCACAUAUUGUAUGAUUCCAUUCAGAGGAUUUGCCACAAUAGGAAGAUCCCUCGAAACAGAGAAAGCACCUUCGUGGGUGCCGGGGGGCUGGGGGGUAGGGGGAAAUGGGGAGUGACUGCUAAUGGGUACAAGAUUUCUUUUUGGAGUGACAGAAAUGUUUUGGAAUUAGACCAUGCUGAUGGUUGCCCAACAAUGUAAUGCACUCAAAACCACUGAACUGUGCACCUUAAAAUGGUUAAAAUGGUGAAUUUUAUGGCAUGUGAAUUAUGCCUUCAUCUUUAACAAGAGCAUCAGCCUGUCUUCCUGCUCUCUGGUGGACAGUGGAGAAGAAAGGAAAGGAAGGAGGUCAAGAACAAACCCUUUCCUCCUCUCCCAGCUGAAGAGCUUUGCAGACGGCGGGGAGGGCCUGGAGGGGCCGCUCUCUGGGCAGCUGAGGGUUGCUUUUCCACCUAAAGGGCCUGUCUGCCAUGUCCUUCCUGGCGCAUCCUGAGUGUCCCCUGGGCUGUGGUCCUGGGACCUCCCCCACUCUUCUGCCCUUCUGCCGCGAUGGAAACUGGGCCUCCCUGGGCUGCUGCUCUGCCUUGGAAGGAAAUGGGGGACACUUGCUUGGCUCUUCAGCACCCGCCCCGUGCUUCCGCGUUUGUGUGAAGGGCAAAGGUUUUAGCGAUCUCCUGCCAGGCUCAGAUCCGCUCCUCUACACGGCACGCCUUGCUCUGGCCAAGGCUCCAUUCGGAGGAAUUCGGGUGCGGCACAGCGUCA
rnacentral:lncRNA from 10 species